AAUUAAUGUUCACCAGUAUAGAAUCACACCUGCAUACCAUUUACAACUUAUCCAUGCAUGGCUAACUCAGUGAAUCCAUUGGCUAUUAUUAUAGUGAACACUUCUCCCUGUGAUUUAAAUACCCAGUCACUAAGAAUUAGAACUCAUUGCAGAAGACAUUUACAGCAGAUAUCAUUGCUGAAGAAAUCAGAUGGGGACAGCGAACUUGGUUUUCUUUAACACCAAGCCAUUGAUAACAUCAAAGAAAAAUUUGCUAAAAUUCAUCAUUAUUGUCUCAUCACCAGGAAGAUGAAAAAAGAACCAGUCAGUAUAAAAAGUGCAGAAUUUCGCAAGUACAAUCUGAAUGUUGACUCCUGUCGCCCUUGCCUUUGUAAAUUGGCUUAAUUAUUCCUAAUAGGCAAUCGUCUGGGACUAGGCCACUAUCAAAAACCAAAUUGAAAAAGUUUAGAUAUAAGGGUAAGAAGGUUUCCAUAGUUGUCUUAAUAUAUUCGUUGAUAACAUGGUAACCGCCAGGCGCUUUAUUGUUUUUUAAUUUUUUUUAAUUUAAACCAUUACAUGCUAGCCUAAACUAAAAGGUUAAGUAUACUUAAAAGUAAACUUGGCCUUUCAAAAUUCUUUUAAUAUUUAUUAUUAUUAUUUAUUACACUAAACAUGUAUGCUUGUUUGAACAAUAGUUAUGUAAGAGCUGCCAAACGUUUUUUUUUUAUUCUUUUAAGUUACACUGUGUAAACCUAUUUAUUUACUUAUUAUAAAGUUCCCUUUAUUUUCCUGUUCUUUUCAAAUGGGCUAGAUCAUGAAAUCUCAUUCAUGAGAUUUUUGUUUCAAUGAAAAUGAAGUUAAUGUAGGUGUAAAAAAAAAAAAAAAUUAUUUUUUGCCCCAGCUCUUUUUCUACUUUGCUCGGUCAGUUAUAUAUACGACACAAAAGCAGUAUAAUAUAAUAGAUGCUUAAAAAUUAAAAAGCUGAAAUAAAAAAUAUAUUAGUUUUUUUCACCCUUCAUUAGUUUUAGUGCCAAAAAGUGCACAAAAUUGAAUAGAUACAUGUAAGAGCAAAUGUCAUUUAAUAUCAAUAUCAAAGUUUAAUAUACAUAAUGUACAUAAAAGAUAAACGUUAUUAAUAAAUGCUGAUUUGAAUUUUAAAAACCCCCAACAAAGUAUGCCUACAGAUGAUUUUUUUAAGGGACAGAGACUGGUCAAAGUCUAUGCCAAAAAUACUGAGAAAAUGCUUCAAAGAUAAAUAUUUUUAUAAAUUGCAUGAGCAAAUGAUAAAAA